rnacentral:lncRNA from 1 species
CGCACAAGCAAAAACAGCGAGCUACAGAUGAGAAGGACUAUGAGGAUGGUUCUGAAGAGGAAAUGAAUGAUGGGGUUUCAGCGGCUGGAUUCGGGAGUGAAAUUGAUCAGGCUGAGAGUGAGAUUGAUGAUGAUCAGGCAGAAACUGAGAUUGAAGAUGAUCGGGCUACAAAUGAGAUUGAAGAUGAUCGGGCUACAAAUGAGAUUGAGACUAGCCAGGAUCAAGCCUCUGAAAAUCUAAAACCCUUUACACCAAAGUCAAGCAAGAAAAAGUCCAAGUCAAAAACCAAACGGAAGAAGGCCAGAGCAAAAUUAGUUAAG